ensembl:snRNA U6 U6 spliceosomal RNA
GUACUUGCUCUGGCAGUACAUCAACUAAAAUUGGAGCGAUACAGAGAAGAUUAGCAUGGCCCCUGCGCAA